AAACCAACAGGGACUGCCUUAGUAGCGGCGAGUGAAGCGGCAAAAGCUCAAAUUUGAAAUCUGGCACCUUCGGUGUCCGAGUUGUAAUUUGAAGAUUGUAACCUUGGGGUUGGCUCUUGUCUAUGUUUCUUGGAACAGGACGUCACAGAGGGUGAGAAUCCCGUGCGAUGAGAUGCCCAAUCCUAUGUAAGGUGCUUUCGAAGAGUCGAGUUGUUUGGGAAUGCAGCUCUAAGUGGGUGGUAAAUUCCAUCUAAAGCUAAAUAUUGGCGAGAGACCGAUAGCGAACAAGUACAGUGAUGGAAAGAUGAAAAGAACUUUGAAAAGAGAGUGAAAAAGUACGUGAAAUUGUUGAAAGGGAAGGGUUUGAGAUCAGACUCGAUAUUUUGUGAGCCUUGCCUUCGUGGCGGGGUGACCCGCAGCUUAUCGGGCCAGCAUCGGUUUGGGCGGUAGGAUAAUGGCGUAGGAAUGUGACUUUGCUUCGGUGAAGUGUUAUAGCCUGCGUUGAUGCUGCCUGCCUAGGACCGGAGGACUGCG
rnacentral:rRNA from 1 species